GCUAGCUAAUGGUGGAAAGAAGGAUGAAGGAAAUUAUCUAAGGCAUAGUCACCCUCAAGAAUCAAAGGAAUUAUUUCACUUCCUCCUGAAGACUUUCGCAGAAUCUCUCCCUGACUUCGAUGCAAGAGAAAUAAUUCAAAGCUAGCUCUGUAGUUGUUUGGACAUAGUCUUAUCAAAUGCUACUCUUACUAACACAGUACUGAUUUUAUUCUUUCGUGAAUAGUGUGUCUCAGUUUCUGCAAAUAUUUCCAUGCCCCAGAUCUCAUUUGAACUUGUUAUCUGCCCUCUCUGCUCCAUCCCAAUAGCUACUGUACUAAUGCAGGGCCUCCUCUCCCUCAGUUUGACUGUGGUAGUGGCUUCCUUGCCUGUCUCCAUGCCUCUGGUACAGCUCAGCUGGCUUCACAACUCCUCCACAGCCUCCAGGAAGAAUUGUGACCUCCUGGUAUGGGAAUCCAAAGUCUACUACAAAAAUCCACAUCUGCUGAAACCCAGUAUCCAUUAUCACUGCUGAAGAAUGUGACUUUUGCCUCCUUUCUGCCUUCUGGAGCUCCCAUGAAUGCAUCUUAUUGAUGCACAACUCUGGAGGGCAUUUGUCAAGAAUAAUUGGCAGCAGUCAUUUAUUAUCACAUGGCCUGAGCUGGUGAUAACAGUUGAUGUCAACAAAGUUACCAACAAAACUCCAAAGGAAAAGGGGGAGAUUUAUUAACUAAAUGAAAUGCCGAGGUUACCUUUGCACUGGGACCAAUGGGCAUUAAAGUACCACCUGAGCAGGUUUGUGCAUUCCAAGCCCUGUUGCUCCAACCCCAAAAGGAAUACGGUCAGCACUUCUGGAAGAGACACUGCAGGAGAUCCACUGGAAUUGAAGGUACGUUGGAGAGAGGAUGCUAAUGGAGCCUCUGGCAAGCCCCCAGACACGUGUCCUCUUCCUGUAUAACAGAUCCCUAACAGAAGCAAAUGCAGAUAUGACUUGGACCAUUCUGAAAUAGACUUCAUAUUUUGAAGUGGAAAUAUUUUGAAGAUAAAGCUUUGAAAAUGCCAAGAGCAACACCAUGACUAACGGAUAGCAGCAAAAACAAAGUACACAGAAUCAGGAGUCACUCCUAGGCGUGGAGGACCCUCCUCCCUGAACUGAAGUGGACGCAUGCAGCACAGAAGGUGGACUGCAGUGGCUGGAGAGGAGCACACCACUCAGAUCGCUUUCGAGGGACCCUCAUGGAUCAGACUCUAGCUGAUCCCUCUUCUAAAUCCCACAUGUUCAGAGUAUGCUCUUCCUAGGCAGAAAGAGAGAGAAUACCAUAUGAGAUCGCUCAUAUGUGGAAUCAAAAAAAAAAAAGCAUAAAUACAAAACAGAAAUAGACUCAUGGACAGAGAAUACAAACUUGUGGU